rnacentral:rRNA from 1 species
UAUAUUGGACAAUGGGCGAAAGCCUGAUCCAGCCAUGCCUCGAGUUUUAAGAAGGCCUUCUGAUUGUAAAGCACUUUAAGUUGGGAGGAAGGGUUGUAGGUUAAUACCCUGCAAUUUUGACGUUACCAACAGAAUAAGCACCGGCUAACUUCGUGCGAGCAACCGCGGUAAUACGAAGGGUGCAAGCGUUAAUCGGAAUUACUGGGCCUAAAGCGCGCGUAGGUGGUUCGUUAAGUUGGAAGUGAAAGCCCCGGGCUUAACCUGGGAAUUGUUUUCAAAACUGACGGGCUAGAGUACGGUAGAGGGUAGUGGAAUUUCCUGUGUAGCGGUGAAAUGCGUAGGUAUAGGAAGGAACAUCAGUGGCGAAAGCGACUACCUGGACUGAUACUGACACUGAGGUGCGAAAGCGUGGGGAGCAAACAGG